GAUGUUACGAUGGAUGAUUAGGUGAGACUUUAAUUAUGUUAUGAAAUACAUAAGAUAUAUACAAAUAUAUAAGGAAUAAUACAAAGAAUCUCUCUUCUCACCAUCCAACAUAAAAAAAAAUCAAACAUUAACAUGACAGUUGAAGUGGUCUGUGUACCCAACCCCGAAUGCAUCUGUCUCUUCUCUCAUCCCCAGAGUGUUGCUCUGUUGCCCAGGCUGGAGUGCAGUGGUGUGAUGUCGGCUCAUUACAACCUCUGCCUCCCAGGUUCAAGUGAUUCUCCUGCCUCAGUCUCCCGAAUAGCUGGGCAUUACAGCUGGCCGCCACCAUGCCCAGUGAGAAGAUUGGCUCCUAACAUCAAAAACAUUUACUGGAGCCAGGAGGCGGAGGUUGCUAUGAGCCAAGAUCGUACCACUGCACUCCAGCCUGGGUGA
rnacentral:lncRNA from 1 species